UACGGGGGGGGCAAGCGUUGUUCGGAAUUACUGGGCAUAAAGCGCGCGUAGGCGGUCCGUUAAGUCAUGUGUGAAAUCCCCCGGCUCAACCGGGGAAUUGCGCCUGAUACUGGCGGGCUAGAGAUCGAUAGGGGUGAGUGGAACUCCAGGUGGAGCGGUGAAAUGCGUAGAUAUCUGGAGGAACACCGGUGGCGAAAGCGGCUCACUGGAUCGAUACUGACGCUGAGGUGCGAAAGCUAGGGUAGCAAACGGG
rnacentral:rRNA from 1 species